AUGGAGGCCCUUAUAGGUAUGUCUCCUCAAGAGCCUCUGAAACCACAAGGAGGCAAGAAGAGGGAAAGAGUUGCAGCCAGUGCUCCUUUCACCUGGAAUGCAUUCCACUUAGGGCAUUGCCAUGAGGAUGCUAUCAAUGAAGUGAUCCAGACAUACGCUCGUGUCUACAUGUGGUACGUUAUCUCCAGGACUCUGUUUGCUAUAGCACAGGCAAGAAUGCUCCAUGGAUGUGGUUGA
rnacentral:rRNA from 1 species